rnacentral:rRNA from 1 species
CCUACGGGUGGCAGCAGUGGGGAAUAUUGGACAAUGGGCGAAAGCCUGAUCCAGCCAUGCCGCGUGUGUGAAGAAGGCCUUCGGGUUGUAAAGCACUUUCAGUGGGGAAGAAAGCCUUGGGGCUAAUACCCUCGAGGAAGGACAUCACCCACAGAAGAAGCACCGGCUAACUCCGUGCCAGCAGCCGCGGUAAUACGGAGGGUGCGAGCGUUAAUCGGAAUUACUGGGCGUAAAGCGCGCGUAGGCGGUCUGAUAAGCCGGUUGUGAAAGCCCCGGGCUCAACCUGGGAACGGCAUCCGGAACUGUCCGGCUAGAGUGCAGGAGAGGAAGGUAGAAUUCCCGGUGUAGCGGUGAAAUGCGUAGAGAUCGGGAGGAAUACCAGUGGCGAAGGCGGCCUUCUGGACUGACACUGACGCUGAGGUGCGAAAGCGUGGGUAGCAAACAGGAUUAGAUACCCCAGUAGUC